AUGAAGAACGCAGCGAAAUGCGAUAAGUAAUGUGAAUUGCAGAAUUCAGUGAAUCAUCGAAUCUUUGAACGCACAUUGCGCCCGCCAGUAUUCUGGCGGGCAUGCCUGUCUGAGCGUCAUUUCAACCCUCAUGCCCCUAGGGCGUGGUGUUGGGGAUCGGCCAAAGCCCGCGAGGGACGGCCGGCCCCUAAAUCUAGUGGCGGACCCGUCGUGGCCUCCUCUGCGAAGUAGUGAUAUUCCGCAUCGGAGAGCGACGAGCCCCUGCCGUUAAACCCCCAACUUUCCAAGGUUGACCUCAGAUCAGGUAGGAAUACCCGCUGAACUUAAGCAUAUCAAUAAGCGGAGGA
rnacentral:misc_RNA from 1 species